rnacentral:rRNA from 1 species
AUUGAACGCUGGCGGCAGGCCUAACACAUGCAAGUCGAACGAGUGGCGGACGGGUGAGUAAUGUCUGGGAAACUGCCUGAUGGAGGGGGAUAACUACUGGAAACGGUAGCUAAUACCGCAUACCAUCAGAUUUGCCCAGAUGGGAUUCGCUAGUAGGUGGGGUAAUGUCUCACCUAGGCGACGAUCCCUAGCUGGUAGGAGAGGCUGAACAGCCACACUGGAACUGAGACACGGUCCAGACUCCUACGGGAGGCAGCAGUGGGGAAUAUUGCACAAUGGGAGCAAGCCUUAUGCAGCCAUGCCGCGUGUGUGAAGAAGGCCUGCGGGUUGUAAAGCACUGUCAUCGAGGAGGCGUUACUCGCAGAAGAAGCACCGGCUAACUCCGUGCCAGCAGCCGCGGUAAUAC